rnacentral:lncRNA from 1 species
GGUCACAGGCAUCGGCCCUUGCCUACCCUCGAGGCCCUGCUCUCAUCAUCCCAUACAGGAUCUCUGCUCCUCGAUACAAAAUAAAAACUUUUUUUCAGAUUCGACUAGUGAUCUGAUCACUAUCCAUAGGGUUGCGAAGUCAUCUUUGAUCUUAAAUCACACUUCUGAAGAUAUGACACUUGGAAAAUUUGCAUUUUAAAGACCCAGACAUUGAGAAUGACUUAAGGAACAACCCUGUGAAAAGGUAAAAGGUUGACAGUGGGCCCUGCAGCUUUAGAUAAUGUCUCUCCCUAGUUUUGAAGUAAUCGGUUAGAAGGAG